GACGUAGGGGGCGAGCGUUGUCCGGAUUUACUGGGCGUAAAGCGCGCGUAGGCGGUCAGGUCAGUCAUAGGUGAAAUCCCUGGGCUCAACCCAGGAACGGCUUAUGAUACUGCUUGGCUAGAGUACGGGAGAGGAGAGUGGAAUUGCUGGUGGAGCGGUGAAAUGCGUAGAUAUCAGCAGGAACGCCCGUGGCGAAGGCUGCUCUCUGGAACGCUACUGACGCUGAGGCGCGAAAGCUAGGGGAGCGAACGGGAUUAGAUACCCCCGUA
rnacentral:rRNA from 1 species